rnacentral:rRNA from 1 species
GACGAACGCUGGCGGCGUGCUUAACACAUGCAAGUCGAACGGAAAGGCCCUGCUUUUGUGGGGUGCUCGAGUGGCGAACGGGUGAGUAACACGUGAGUAACCUGCCCUUGACUUUGGGAUAACUUCAGGAAACUGGGGCCAAUACCGGAUAGGAGCUCCUGCUGCAUGGUGGGGGUUGGAAAGUUUCGGCGGUUGGGGAUGGACUCGCGGCUUAUCAGCUUGUUGGUGGGGUAGUGGCUUACCAAGGCUUUGACGGGUAGCCGGCCUGAGAGGGUGACCGGCCACAUUGGGACUGAGAUACGGCCCAGACUCCUACGGGAGGCAGCAGUGGGGAAUAUUGCACAAUGGGCGGAAGCCUGAUGCAGCAACGCCGCGUGCAGGAUGACGGCCUUCGGGUUGUAAACCGCUUUCGCCUGUGACGAAGCGUGAGUGACGGUAAUGGGUAAAGAAGCACCGGCUAACUACGUGCCAGCAGCCGCGGUGAUACGUAGGGUGCGAGCGUUGUCCGGAUUUAUUGGGCGUAAAGGGCUCGUAGGUGGUUGAUCGCGUCGGAAGUGUAAUCUUGGGGCUUAACCCUGAGCGUGCUUUCGAUACGGGUUGACUUGAGGAAGGUAGGGGAGAAUGGAAUUCCUGGUGGAGCGGUGGAAUGCGCAGAUAUCAGGAGGAACACCAGUGGCGAAGGCGGUUCUCUGGGCCUUUCCUGACGCUGAGGAGCGAAAGCGUGGGGAGCGAACAGGCUUAGAUACCCUGGUAGUCCACGCUGUAAACGGUGGGUACUAGGUGUGGGGUCCAUUCCACGGGUUCCGUGCCGUAGCUAACGCUUUAAGUACCCCGCCUGGGGAGUACGGCCGCAAGGCUAAAACUCAAAGGAAUUGACGGGGCCCCGCACAAGCGGCGGAGCAUGCGGAUUAAUUCGAUGCAACGCGUAGAACCUUACCUGGGUUUGACAUGGAUCGGGAGCGCUCAGAGAUGGGUGUGCCUCUUUUGGGGUCGGUUCACAGGUGGUGCAUGGCUGUCGUCAACUCGUGUCGUGAGAUGUUGGGUUAAGUCCCGCAACGAGCGCAACCCUUGUUCACUGUUGCCAGCACGUUAUGGUGGGGACUCAGUGGAGACCGCCGGGGUCAACUCGGAGGAAGGUGGGGAUGACGUCAAGUCAUCAUGCCCCUUAUGCCCAGGGCUUCACGCAUGCUACAAUGGCUGGUACAGAGAGUGGCGAGCCUGUGAGGGUGAGCGAAUCUCGGAAAGCCGGUCUCAGUUCGGAUUGGGGUCUGCAACUCGACCUCAUGAAGUCGGAGUCGCUAGUAAUCGCAGAUCAGCAACGCUGCGGUGAAUACGUUCCCGGG